rnacentral:rRNA from 1 species
UACGGAGGGAGCUAGCGUUGUUCGGAAUUACUGGGCGUAAAGCGCACGUAGGCGGCUUUGUAAGUUAGAGGUGAAAGCCCGGGGCUCAACUCCGGAACUGCCUUUAAGACUGCAUCGCUUGAAUCCAGGAGAGGUGAGUGGAAUUCCGAGUGUAGAGGUGAGAUUCGUAGAUAUUCGGAAGAACACCAGUGGCGAAGGCGACUCGCUGGACAAGUAUUGACGCUGAGGUGCGAAAGCGUGGGGAGCAAACAGG